rnacentral:rRNA from 1 species
UGGGGAAUAUUGCACAAUGGAGGGAACUCUGAUGCAGCGACGCCGCGUGAACGAAGAAGGCUUUCGAGUCGUAAAGUUCUUUGAUAGGGGAAGAGAAUGACGGUACCAUAAGAAAAAGCCCCGGCGAACUACGUGCCAGCAGCCGCGGUAAUACGUAGGGGGCUAGCGUUGUCCGGAAUCACUGGGCGUAAAGGGUUCGCAGGCGGAAAUGCAAGUCAGGUGUAAAAGGCAGUAGCUUAACUACUGUAAGCAUUUGAAACUGCAUAUCUUGAGAAGAGUAGAGGUAAGUGGAAUUUUUAGUGUAGCGAUGAAAUGCGUAGAUAUUAAAAAGAAUACCGGUGGCGAAGGCGACUUACUGGGCUCAUUCUGACGCUGAGGAACGAAAGCGUGGGUAGCAAACAGG